UAUGGCCACAUCAUGUUGAAACACUAGUUCCUGUACAAUCAUUGAAGUUAAGCAUGUUGAGCCUGGCCAGUACCUAAAUGGAUGACCACUUGAGAAUACCAGGUGCUGUAAG